GCCUUCGUGGUGUAGUUAGCGGUCAGCACGCUCGACGUGUAUUCGAGAGGUCCGUGGUUCGAGUCCCCGCGAGGGCA